rnacentral:rRNA from 1 species
CUACGGGUUGCUGCAGUGGGGAAUAUUGCACAAUGGGCGCAAGCCUGAUGCAGCGACGCCGCGUGAGUGAAGAAGUAUUUCGGUAUGUAAAGCUCUAUCAGCAGGGAAGAUGAUGACAGUACCUGACUAAGAAGCUCCGGCUAAAUACGUGCCAGCAGCCGCGGUAAUACGUAUGGAGCAAGCGUUAUCCGGAUUUACUGGGUGUAAAGGGAGUGUAGGUGGCUUUGUAAGUCAGAUGUGAAAGCCCAGGGCUCAACCCUGGGACUGCAUUUGAAACUACAUGGCUUGAGUGCAGGAGAGGUAAGUGGAAUUCCUAGUGUAGCGGUGAAAUGCGUAGAUAUUAGGAAGAACACCAGUGGCGAAGGCGGCUUACUGGACUGUAACUGACACUGAGGCUCGAAAGCGUGGGGAGCAAACAGGAUUAGAUACCCUUGUAGUC